rnacentral:rRNA from 1 species
UACGUAGGCAGCAAGCGUUGUUCGGAGUUACUGGGCGUAAAGGGUGCGUAGGCGGCUUUUUAAGUUUGGUGUGAAAUCUCCCGGCUCAACUGGGAGGGUGCGCCGAAUACUGAGAGGCUAGAGUGUGGGAAAGGAAAGUGGAAUUCCUGGUGUAGCGGUGAAAUGCGUAGAUAUCAGGAGGAACACCGGUGGUGUAAACGGCUUUCUGGACCAUAACUGACGCUGAGGCACGAAAGCGUGGGUAGCAAACAGG